UACAGAGGUCUCAAGCGUUGUUCGGAUUCAUUGGGCGUAAAGGGUGCGCAGGCGGCGGGGCAAGUCGGACGUGAAAUCUCGGGGCUUAACCCCGAAACUGCGUUCGAUACUGCCCUGCUAGAGGACUGGAGAGGAGACUGGAAUUCCUGGUGCAGCAGUGAAGUGCGUAGAUAUCAGGAGGAACGCCAAUGGCGAAGGCAAGUCUCUGGACAGUUCCUGACGCUCAUGCACGAAGGCCAGGGGAGCAAACGGG
rnacentral:rRNA from 1 species